rnacentral:rRNA from 1 species
UACGUAGGGUCCGAGCGUUGUCCGGAGUGACUGGGCGUAAAGCGCGCGCAGGCGGCCCGCGAGGUGUCCUGUGAAAGCCCCGUGCUCAACGCGGGAGGGUCAGGGCAAACCGGCGGGCUUGAGGCCGGUAGAGGUGGGUGGAACUCCUGGUGGAGUGGUGAAAUGCGUAGAGAUCAGGAAGAACACCCGUGGCGAAGGCGGGACUCUGGGCCGAUACUGACGCUGAGGAGCGAAAGCGUGGGGAGCAAACAGG